CUAGGAAUUGGAUGUUUAGUUUUAUUUAAAUUCAAUUAUCUUAAAUAUCCACAUAUAGCUAGUGGCCGCUGUAGAAACCGUGCAGAUCUAGAGAUGCCCGUGAUUGUACUUAAGGCUGAAUUAAGCACUUUUUCUUUCCCCACUGCCGUGGUGAAGAGUAUAGACUCGUGGCCGCACUGCCUAGGUUUGAUUCUUGGCUCUACUACUUAUUAGCUGUGUGGUCUUGAACAAGUUGUUUAAACUUUCUGUGCCUCGUCUGUAAAUCCGGGAUAGUAAUGGUCACUUCCUAAGGGUUAUUAUGGGGAUCAGGUGAGUUAAUAGCUGUAAAGUCUUAGAACUAUGUAUGGCAUCCCAUCAGGACACUGUAUAACACUGAAACAAUGGUUUCCUUAUUUACUUAUUUAUUUACUUAUUCACUUUGAAAUUGUAUAAUGAACACUUGUGAUUUUUCUUAAGUAAUUCUAAGCAAAUGUGUCUCUCUUCAUUCUAAGUUUCCAAUCUACAAAGACAGGUGUGGAAUAGAGCCUAAAUCUUUAUUUAUACACACACACACAGAAUAAUGUAUACAUACUCAUACAUUUAAUAAGCACUUAUUAUAUGCCACACACUAUACUAAGAGUUCAUGUACAUCUCAAUUCUCCUUUAUAACAAUUCCAUGAGGUAAGUUUUAAUAUUAUCCCCAUUUUACAGAUGAAGAAACUGAGACUCAGGUCAUAUAGCUGGUAAAUAGCAGAACUGCUAUUUGAGCCCAGAUCUGCCUGACUUCAAAACCUGAGCUCUUCUUCCCUCUGCUGUGCUGCCUUUCCUGGUGUGGUUGAAUUUCCAUGGGCCCUGCAAGGAACCUGUUCAAUCCCUGAUUAACAAAUACAGAAACUGAGACUCAAAGAAAUUCAGUCAUUUGGGUGUGUAAGCCGCAGAGCCUGGAUUCAAACCCAGAUAUAACUGAUUCCAAAGUCUGUACUUUUUUUUUAAUCCCAUCCUCGAUAUGUCAAUAGACAAUACUUUUGUACCUUUACAUUCUUUGUUCAUUUUUAAGCAUAAAAUGCAACUUUCUCUGAGUCUGGAGGAGCACAAGAGCAUUAGCUUUCAAUCUUCACCGUUGCCCUGGGCCAAGGCAUCUUUCGUUCCUUUGGUACACUGAGUAUAUGGUAUUUUAGGCAACUAUUGUAUCAAUCAGGGUCCAGUCAGGUGAUAGAAGCCACGCCAGUUUUUAGAACAGAAAUUUUAAUAUAAAGAAUUGGUAACUAGGAAUGAAGCUGUUCACUAGGCAACUGAAAGGGUACAGAGAGACCGCUAAGUAUCAUACAGGUAAGACACAGCUCCCACCCCGAAGGCUGGGGGGAAUAAAGGAAGAGGUUGGAAUGAUUACAACUUAGAUGCCUGGAGGAGGGGCCCCGCGGAGCUGAAACUCAGAGGAGCUGAAACGGAGGCUGAUGCUCUGCCUCAGCUUGGAGGAAGACACUGGAAAACUGGUACCCAGGCCCACGAGCCUCUGGAUAAGCCCUGGAGACCACAGAUGAAGAAGCCACACUCUCUGAACUUAAGUGGGAGAAAAAAAAAUUUAAUUACGCCAAAAAUAUCUGUUAGAGUUUCCCAUUCAAUAUGGAGCCUAAGCACACGCAUUCACCUCCUCUCCAUCCCAGAGCAGCUUUGGGCUUAAAGUCAGUAGGUAUCAAGAACAAGAGUGCUCUGGGCAGCAAUCCGAGGGAUUGCCAUGCCGACAGGCACAGAGUAGCUGUGCCCCAGUUGAAGCUCUAAGAAUUACUCUAAACAGUGGAAAUGAUUUGGCUGUAGAGGGCCCACGGUAAGGAUACUGCGGCGGGGGGGGGGGGGGGGGGGGGUCAAGAUGGAGCUGAAGAAAUGAAUGGACCUCUAGAAUAACCAGGAGGAGAAAUAAGGAAAGACAGCCCUGGGCAGGCAUGAUAGACACUGAAGCUCCCUACCCCUAGAGUCAGUCUUGCUUAUUUUUGCCUGCAUCCCCAGGCAGCCUGCUGGCUCCACACUCACACGCCUGAAGGGGAAGCUGAUGGAGAGACCCCGUUCACUUCCUCAGAGACAAAAAUUACCCCUCCCACGGAGGCGACCAUAAGCCUUUGAAUAAACAAACCCACACGACUGCGAAGGAAACCCACCCAACUCUCUGCAGGAAGCAAUAUAGCUCUUCAUUCAUAAGUGGGAGUUGUCCACCGAGAUACAAGGCAUUUGAAGAAAUCCAACAACACGAAAGAGAAAGACUAAAAUUGUUGAGGUGAAACAAGAAUGGCAGGAUAGUGUAGUCAAAGCCGGCAAUAGUCCACAAGGAUUCAUUAAAUUGUCAUCUCUGUUUUUGUGUAUGCUUGAAAUUUUCAUAAUAAAAAGUGAAAAAGUGG